rnacentral:rRNA from 1 species
AUUGAACGCUGGCGGCAUGCUUUACACAUGCAAGUCGAACGGCAGCGCGGGCUUCGGCCUGGCGGCGAGUGGCGAACGGGUGAGUAAUACAUCGGAACGUGCCCAGUAGUGGGGGAUAGCUCGGCGAAAGCCGGAUUAAUACCGCAUACGACCUGAGGGUGAAAGCGGGGGAUCUUCGGACCUCGCGCUAUUUGAGCGGCCGAUGGCAGAUUAGCUAGUUGGUGGGGUAAAGGCCUACCAAGGCGACGAUCUGUAGCUGGUCUGAGAGGACGACCAGCCACACUGGGACUGAGACACGGCCCAGACUCCUACGGGAGGCAGCAGUGGGGAAUUUUGGACGAUGGGCGAAAGCCUGAUCCAGCAAUGCCGCGUGUGUGAUGAAGGCCUUCGGGUUGUAAAGCACUUUUGGCGGGAACGAAAAGGACUGUGCCAAUACCACGGUUCGAUGACGGUACCCGCAGAAUAAGCACCGGCUAACUACGUG